rnacentral:lncRNA from 1 species
GAAAAAGCUAGAGGGAAAGAGGUAUCAUAGUCAGAGUGAUGUAUCUUUUAAUUUUGUUUUAUUUAGUGGAGAAGGAGAAAGCAGUCAUAUUAAGCUAAUCUUGCCAUAGUGGAAAUGCUAAGUCACAGCUUGAACCAGCAAUUGAGCACCUGGUGGGAAGGCAGGGCCAACCCAAGGGAGAUCAGGUGCAUGCAAUGAGGAUCCAGGACCCACCCCUUCCCUGACCUCAUUUAAGGAUCGGCAGUGAAAGCAAGGAUAUCUUGCUGGAGAUUCCUGGGUACCUUAGGCCUUCUGAAAGUAAGUAGAUUCUUUUGUUUCUGUGCCUACAGCUGUUGUAUUUGAGCAAGCCCUCAUCUGCUGUAGCCUAAGGCUUUGUUACUCUGUGGUUAUUGCUGUGCUUUCCAUCGUGUUAUACUUGCCAAAUCCUGACAGAUUUAAAAUAUUUGUAGGGAUGGUCAUACCUCUAAAAGCAAAACUCCUAAAGAGUAUCUUAUAAAUUAACUUUCUUUUAACUUUCUUGGCAGAAUUAGAAAGUAAAUGCAGAAGAUCAGUAGAAGCUGGCAAUCACAACAGAGGAGGGAAGAAAUUGACUCUGGCUUACGACUAAGAAAUUAAUCAAAAAGGACAAGUAUUAUCAUUGCUUGCGUCUCAGUUUAACAAGGAAAUCCUUCAGGAUUCUACCUCGGAAGGAGCCAUAUGAUCAAUGGAAUAACAUGUCAGGAGCUGUUAGACAAAAUGAUGCUGGUUGUAUAUAGCAGCCUUGCUGCAGAAUUUUGGAUGCAUUUCGCAUACUGAACUUCGGAGGCUCAAACUGUGGGAUUUUCCCUGGAUCUCAGAGGAUCACAAGGGUAUAAAUUACUGUGGUGAGCAGCUUUUUAAAGCAACAGAAUAUUUGAAGAUGGAAACGUAUUGGUUUGGUUCUAUUGGGGUUUUUAAAUAUGUUCAGGUGGGUUCUUGUUCUGAUGCUCUCUGUUAAAACAACAGUAUGAUUCAGUUCUUUAGGUUCAUACAUAAUCUGCUUCUUUCUAGCAAGAGAUUUCUGCUUGUUUCUCUUAGCAUAUGAAUGUAUGGAGUAGAAAGCUCUAAAAAUACAGCUGUAAAACAAUUAAGCCGAAGUAUCUCUGAAUUGGUCUUAAAAACCUGUAGUUCCUCAUGAUUAAAAAUUCUCAAAGAAAGUGCUUUCUCAUAGGUCUCUUAGCUAUGAAGUUCAACUCUUGUUUACUAUCCUAAGAAAGCUACCUUUCUUUCAGUAUAUUCCUCUUUUGCAUUUGAAAGUGAUUCAAUAUUAGGAAAUAAGUG